rnacentral:rRNA from 1 species
UCCUGGCUAGGACGAACGCUGGCGGCGUGCUUAACACAUGCAAGUCGAACGAGGAUUAUGUUGGAGGGGCUUCGGCCUGGAAGAUGUAAUUCGAGUGGCGGACGGGUGAGUAACGCGUGAACAAUCUGUCCCGGACAGGGGAAUAACACUUGGAAACAGGUGCUAAUACCGCAUAAGACCACGCCCUCGCAUGGGGGAGGGGGUAAAAGGAGCAAUCCGGUUCGGGGUGAGUUCGCGUCCGAUUAGAUAGUUGGUGAGGUAACGGCCCACCAAGUCGACGAUCGGUAGCCGACCUGAGAGGGUGAUCGGCCACAUUGGAACUGAGAGACGGUCCAAACUCCUACGGGAGGCAGCAGUGGGGAAUAUUGGGCAAUGGGCGAAAGCCUGACCCAGCAACGCCGCGUGAGUGAAGAAGGCUUUCGGGUUGUAAAGCUCUGUUAUAGGGGACGAAGGAAGUGACGGUACCCUAUAAGGAAGCCCCGGCUAACUACGUGCCAGCAGCUGC